rnacentral:lncRNA from 1 species
AAAAAUCCCAGUAAGUUAAAUAUGGGUCACAUUAUAAAAAGUUGUACUGAGUCUGAGACUCUGACUUUCCUCCUGAUUAACUGAUCACCAGCAAUACCCCCUCCCCGUCCCCCAGUAUUGAGGAUUGUACCCAGGACCUCACAGAGGGUUUCAUACAGGCUAGGUAAGCAUCCGACUAUUGCCAUUAUCCCCAGCCCCAACUGUGUGCAUGGUGAAGAGACCUAUUACCUCUCUAGUGUAGUCUGUGUACCUUCUGGGGUUUCUGUUCUCUCCUUGGCUUCAUCAUAAUCUGCAUUGCGUUUUGCUUUCAGCCACCAAGCUGUUUCAGGAGUCACAGCAAUGGUUUCACCUGCCACCCAAUCGCCCUGUCUUAUUGCACAGACUUACUCCUCAUGGUGGUAGAAUGUGGUGAAUCCAAGCUAUUUUUCUGGUCCCAGUCACAGAACAAAGGGAGUUCCUGUCUCUUUAACAGUGGAAUAAAAGACCAGAACCAGCUGGCCUCGUGUGCAUCCCUGGUGCCAUUCCUGGAUCAAAGAGAGUACGCUGGGAUGAGUAGAAUGGAGCAGGCCAGCAUCACAUGGUACCCUCUCCUCUAAGUCAGUCUUAUCACUUUGCUGAGAAUAACAGCUGAGGACAGACGUGCAGCAUGAGAGAAGCAUGUGCUAUUACCAAAAGAAGGGUAGUUGGCAUUAGACAGAAAGCACUGCAGUAGGAAAGUCAGAGUUCCUCUCUAGGCAUCAGUGCAUGAUCUCUGAAGCUCAGGUG